GGCGACCGGCGCACGGGUGAGUAACACGUAUCCAACCUACCUCAUACUCGGGGAUAGCCUUUCGAAAGAAAGAUUAAUAUCCGAUAGCAUAUAUUUCCCGCAUGGGUUUUAUAUUAAAGAAAUUCGGUAUGAGAUGGGGAUGCGUUCCAUUAGUUUGUUGGGGGGGUAACGGCCCACCAAGACUACGAUGGAUAGGGGUUCUGAGAGGAAGGUCCCCCACAUUGGAACUGAGACACGGUCCAAACUCCUACGGGAGGCAGCAGUGAGGAAUAUUGGUCAAUGGACGCGAGUCUGAACCAGCCAAGUAGCGUGAAGGAUGACUGCCCUAUGGGUUGUAAACUUCUUUUAUAUGGGAAUAAAGUGGUCCACGUGUGGACUUUUGUAUGUACCAUAUGAAUAAGGAUCGGCUAACUCCGUGCCAGCAGCCGCGGUAAUACGGAGGAUCCGAGCGUUAUCCGGAUUUAUUGGGUUUAAAGGGAGCGUAGGCGGAUUGUUAAGUCAGUUGUGAAAGUUUGCGGCUCAACCGUAAAAUUGCAGUUGAUACUGGCAGUCUUGAGUGCAGUAGAGGUGGGCGGAAUUCGUGGUGUAGCGGUGAAAUGCUUAGAUAUCACGAAGAACUCCGAUUGCGAAGGCAGCUC
rnacentral:rRNA from 1 species